rnacentral:tRNA from 1 species
CUAUAGCCAAGCGGUAAGGCAACGGACUUUGACUCCGUCACUCGUUGGUUCGAAUCCAGCUAGCCCAGUUAU